UACGUAGGGGGCAAGCGUUGUCCGGAUUUAUUGGGCGUAAAGAGCGUGUAGGCGGCCAGGUAGGUCUGCUGUGAAAACUCGAGGCUCAACCUCGAGACGUCGGCGGAAACCAUCUGGCUAGAGUCCGGAAGAGGAGAGUGGAAUUCCUGGUGUAGCGGUGAAAUGCGCAGAUAUCAGGAAGAACACCCGUGGCGAAGGCGGCUCUCUGGGACGGUACUGACGCUGAGACGCGAAAAGCGUGGGGGAGCGAACAGG
rnacentral:rRNA from 1 species